GGAAUUUAGUGCCAGCUACUAGAGCCAGGCUGGGGAUGUGGGUGCCCUUGGCCCGUAGUGCCAGCUGCUGGAGUGAAUGGGAGUCCUGAGGUCAGUAACUGGAGAGUCCUCUCUGGAAGUAAGAGGAUCUCAACAAACUCUGAGCCUGGAGUAGCAGCUACUGGGGGAUCAGCGUGAGUAAACUGAUGCCAGCUACCAGAACAAGUAGAAGUCCCAGCCAUGGGGCAGGAGUAAUGUGUGCUCCCAAACUAUGGAGGAAACACAGUGAGGGGGGCAGUGCAGACUCUCUACCAGCAACAGGAGCAGGGCCAUGGGUUGGUCAUGCUUCAUAUGCCUGGAGCCAAUUGCUUGAGGAGUCUAGUGUCUGUAUCUUUCCCACCUGUUGCGCAUGUGUAUUCUCUAGCAAACUUUAAACUGGGCUUGCCAGUACACAGUAACGGCCUCAGAUCUGGGCCAGGUAUCAGGCACACAGUGGGUUUGUGCUGGUACAGGCAGGAGGACCUGUGAAUGUGGUGUGCAUAAGGAAUGAGUAUGUGAUGUAUGAAAUGGAAAAGAGGGCCUGGCAUCUGUGCAAGGGUGCUGAGUGGAGAGAGGAUCUCUGAGGUACAUCUGCAGCUUUACUACCAGUUCUCCAGUGGUAAAGAAGCAGCAGCAGCUGAGUCCUCAGCCUAGGUAGAGAUCUAGGGUCGCUGGGCACCAGACUGGGCCCCAACAGCCAGGCGCAAGCAGUCCCCAAGGCCACCUGGAAGAGAUGGCUGUGCUCCUUACCUCACUUAGCAAUUUAACUUUCAGUCAGAUGUAGUCUGAGUCACUCUUUGGAUAGAAGCAACAUCUACUUAAAAUCUUAUGCAGAUUUCAUUUACAUCUCAGUUCUACAAGUCUGAGGGAGUGGAGGUGCUUUUGCCUACUUAGCUUUCAAGAGGAAGCUCUGAGAUGCUGCUGGGUUUCCCAGGCAAGUUCUGCAUGAUCACAACUAUUUUACACCAAAGAUAAUGAUCACAGGUGAAGGCUAUUCUGUUAAUUGCCUUCACUCUGUUCCACAGCUAGUUAAAACCUGCAAGGGCAAGAUGCAGAACUGUGUGUUAUCUCUUUAGCAGACUGAAGCUCUCAAUUCAUUACAGCCUGCAGAAAGGAAGCAUGCAGAUUAGAAGAGCACCUAUUUGGUGUGCUUGUAGGAUACAGAGAUCUCAAUUUUAAAACCAUCCCUAUUCAAGCACACUAAUGUCUUCUCUGGAAUACAUCCCCACACCAAAACAGCUGGUACUGUGUGUGCUUCAUACUGACUGAUAGGGAAGAAGAUAUUCCCCAUACCAUCUUCUCCUGCCUGCUAAAGCAUCAAACAACCAAGGAUUGGAGAAAUCUUCUGUGGCUCCUCUUAUAUACCCUGAGGAAGUUUUGCCAGAGGUGAACUAGAUCUUGCUCAAGUGUUUGCAUAGGAAGUUGGCCACCUGGAGGUAACGAUGAGGGAGGAACUUCUCUUGUCUCUUUUGCUGUCCUUAUAUCAAGAGACUCUUGUAAGCCUCUUUUAAUAUAAAGCCUCUAUUUUCUGUUGGGUUCCUCUGUGGAAGAUAAUGAUCUUGGUAAAAUGUUUACCUAGACUUCCUUACACAAAGAGCUAUCAUGACAAUGUACUUUCUUAAGUAUGUAAUUUUAGUCAGUAAAAAAGAAACGUGUGGUUCCAGACAGGGAAAAUACUAUUGCUGCAUUUUUUUUCUUUUACUGUCUUAGCGGUUGUGAAGGAAGAAAUACGUGAUUCAGUUGAUCUGCACAUACUGUUGCAGUUUGGUCAGGCAAAAUAUCCUGAGACAUCUUCUGUGUUGAUACUUAUCUUUGGAGACUGGUAUUAUGAGCUAAACUAAGAGAGCAUGUAAUUAACAUUUAUAUGCACAGUAAUUUAAAUUAUAGUAGAAUGUAUAGGAUCUUUAGAAGGCCAUAAGACAGCUAGUUUUAAUUCAGAUAUCCUAAGAUAAUGUAGGUAGUGUCCAGAUAAACAUGCCAGUACUGCUUGCUUUGUUCAUCUAAAUAUAUUGUUAUUUUGCCAAUUUUCUAGAGCAAUGGAGUAGUAAAGUAGAGGUCAAAAUAGAUUCUACAAAGCAAUAUGCAAUUCAAUUCUUUAACCCUAACCCAAGUGUGGGAAUUAUUAAGAGUUCUGGGAUACUUUAUUGAGCCUACAGCCACAAGUCAGUAUUUUCUUAGAGAGAGAGAGAGAAUGAUGAAAGAAUAAUAAAAUCAUUAUGUGAUAAUUUACACCAGAAGUGCAAAAGCCCUGUUGUAUCCAUGCACCUAAAUAUAGGUUGAACAAAAAAAAAGGGGGGGGGGGGGCAGUUAAAGCAAUUUCCAUCCUCAGGUUAUGUUACAAACCUUGUAUUUAGUGAAAGGAGAAUGAGUAGCUUCCUAAAAGCACAGAUACUCAAGGUGAUCAUAUUCUGUAUGCUGUAGUAAGAGGGGAAAAAAAAGCUAUAAAGACAGUAUUUAUCUUUGCUGAUGGUAACCUAAUUAACCAUAAACUGUACUAAAAUGCAGCAGUGUCCAAGGAUGACUUGCUCCUUCUGUACUGACAGGCAUAGAAAUGUUGGCAAUAAAUUUAAGCUGUAAGGCUAUAUUCCAGUAUCUUCUAAUUUAUCUGCAGAGUGUCAGCCUCUAUCAGCUGGCGUUGACCGAAACAGGGCAUAAAAGGACAGAUGUACCAAUUUUGUACUUCAUUUACACAUUGGAAAAGAACAAGAUUCUUUCUCUUCCCCUGGGAAGAUUUAAAUAGUCACUGACUUUAGCAAACAAAUAUGUGAGAGGCAUAAGGAUGCUUCAUAAGGUUCUGGUCUGGAAUUAGUAUGGAAUAUUUUUAUUUUUUAAGUAGUAGUUAAUACUGACAUUUAUUUUUCAAAUUAUUUGGUUUCCAAAUUAUUUCAGCUAAAAAUAAAAGCAAUUGUGAGGAAAAUUCUGAGAAGAAAUAACAUACAGGUUUUUAAGCUCUUUUUAAAUCUUGAUUUUUUUUUUUUUUUUUUAAUGUGUGCAACAAUGGUUUUGCUCAGAGCUACAGUUUCUUGUGGUAUGUAGUAUUUAAGUUUGUUUCUUUUGGAAGAACUGAAAGUAAAAUCAAGGAAAUGAAUGGAACACAAGAUACUUGCUUAUGUUCCUGAAGGUGGUAGCUCUGCUGCCUUCCCUCUAUGAAGUAUAUGCGGAGAUGCAGUAGGAGAUCUGAUCCAUGGCUUCUGAAGUACAGCAUUUGCUAUCCUGUAUAAGUGAUAAGUAAGAAGAGCACAUCCUUAGUCAUGUAUGAAUAAUACUAGGUUCUUUCUUGCACAUCUAAUUGACCAAGAUGGGAAAUAAAAGUAAAACAGUCUUAAAACAUGAGCAUGUUCCCUGGACAAAUCUUAUGGCAGUGUAGCCAUGUGCUUGGAAAAAAGUAUUUUGUUGAUGAUUGAGUGAUAAUAACAAAAUAGCAGUAAUCUGACUUUUGGAAGGAAAAUACUUCAUUUAAUCAGAAAUUAUUUUUUUCCUGGGUUUUUGGUUGUUUGUUUUCCAGAAAAGAAAGUUAAUUGUUUCAUUAAAACUUAUUUUAUGGAUUUCUUCCCAGCUAAGACCCUCCUAACAUUUAUUCACAUUUUCAUGGACUGUGGACCAUCUUUCUAAAUUCUUCUCUACAAGACACAUUUUCUGAAACAUUUAUAACCACAGUCUAGCCUGAGAUGGAAACAGAUGUUGAAUUAGUACAUUUUGACACUAUUUAUUGGAGAAAAAAAUAAGAAAUGAUAAAUUAAGAUUGUCAAGGGGAAGAUUAAAAUGAUAUAUUCAAACUGGAGCUGAACUUGGCAGGGGGCACAACGAAUAAUAAGAUGGGAGUCUGCAGGUACAUUAGUCAGAAAAGGAAGACUUAAAAAGUGUACUCUCUCUGAUAAGCAAGAUGGGAUAACUGGUGACAGCAGACAAAGAAAAGGCUGAGGUACUCAACAAUGUUUUUACUUUCGUCUUUGCUGGCAGUCACUCUUCCUAUGUUUCUGUAGUCUCUCAUGUCCCAAAUGUCAAGGUAGAGACUGGGAGAAUUAUGUGUAAGCAAAGGUUGAAUUCAUGAUCACCAGCUGAACCUGAACAUGCAUGUUUCUAUGGGGCCCUGAUGGGAUGCAUCCUGGGGUCGUGAGGAAACUCGCUGAUGUAGUUGCCAAGGCACUCUCCAAUAUGUUUGAAAAGUCAUGGCAAACAGGUGGAAACCAAUGACUAAAAGAAGGAGGAAAUCACACCUAUUGUUAAAAAGGAUAGAUAGACAGACCAUGGGAACUACGAGAAUGGUCAGCCUCACCUCUGUACCAUGGAAAAGAUCCUCCCAGAAGCUAUGUUGAUAUAUGUAUGUGGAAAUGGGUAUGGAGAUGAUUUGAGAUAACCUACAUGGCUUCACAAAAACAAAUUGUGCCACCUACUGGCCUAUGGUGAGUGAUUGCAUCAGUGAGUUGCUGUCAACAGCUCAAUAUCUACAUGGAGAUAAAUGAUCAGUAGUGGUCCUCAAAGGGCAGAUAUUGUUUAAUAUUUUUAGUAAUGACAGUGGAUUUGAGUGCACUGUCAGCAAGUUUGCAGAUGACAGCAAGCUGAGUGGUAUGCUUGACAUGAUAGAUGGAAGGAAUGAUAUUUACAUGCAGAGUUGAGAAAUGGGACUACAUAAUCCUCAGCAAGGCCAGAUGAGGUGCAUCUGGGUGAGGGCAACCCCAAACAUCAGUAUGGACUGGGUGAUUAAGGGCAAUUGUGUGAAGAAGGACUUGGUGUACUGGUGGGUGGAAAGCUGCUGUAAAGUCUUCCUGUGUAGCUCCUGAGAAAUCAACAAGUAGGCCAUCUUAUUGCUAGAAGUAAAACCAAUUAUCAUUACUCUUUCUCACGUUAACUCAAAUAACAAAUCUCUCCAAAAUUACACAUCAUAACAAUAAAUAUAUAAAUAACUAAGCAAAGUCCACUCAUUUGGUGCAAUCGCAUAUAUUAAUAAGACUGCUUUAGAAUAGUCAGAAGUGCCAUCUGCUGCUACACACAAGAAUCUCACUCUCUCAGUCACCUCUGGGAGGAAAGGAACUCAUGUUUAAGCAGUAGCAUCUGUGUUUUUAGGAAAAUAAUAAACUCAAUAUUCAGCUCAUACCAAAGUCAGAUGUAGUCAUUGUAGGCAUUGGAUUUACUUUUAAUCAUAAUGUAACCUUACACAAGCACAUUUUUCAUUGCUUCUCUUAAUAUUUAAUGUGCUUACAAGGACUUUACAAUCUACAAGGUCUGCUCCAAAACUAAUGGCUUCUAUUUUAUGUUGGUGCACAAUGUUAGAGGCAGAUGCUGAUAGGAUGGCAGCAGAGGUUGAACCUUCCCACCAAUAUCCCAUUACAUGUUGUUGCUGUGUGACAGAUGGCAGCAGAGGGGACAUCUGACAGAAUGGAGUCUGCCAUGGUAGUGUGCAUGGAACAAAGGUAUGCAAUUGGAUUCCUCGAUGAAGAAGAAGCCAAAGAAAAAUGUACAGUGAUAAACACAAAAUAAAACUCCAUGAAGGAAAAUCACUUAUCAGAUGGGUCUAGAGGAAAAUUCAGUGAACUAAAAUACUUUGAGUUAGAUGGUCAUGGAAUUGAUCUUGCAGCAAGAGAUUAACGUUUUCAAGUGCCUAACCACAGCUGUUCAACUUCUCUGUUGCUGCUGGUUCUGCGAUUCCUCCACCUGCUGCUAUCUCAUCUGCGCUCCUCCUGGAACUACUUCUAAGAACACAGCCAGAAAAUUCUAGCCUUACUGGCAGGUAAAAUACAGCAAUAACCCAAUCAGGAAAGUUUCUUUUAGUGCCUUUGCAUUUUCAAAAGGUAGAUGCUACCUGAAUUCCCUUUUCCACAGUGAAAAUUUAUUUACCUAAAAACAGGCUUUUCAGUACCAUGAACAGUGAAAGUUCAUGUCAAUUUUACUUAGUUUCAAGUCAAAAGAUAGAACUGAAAAGUAGAACUCAUCAAAGGCAACAAAUUAUGUCUGUAUAUGUCAGUAAGGCAGUAUGCCAGAUAAAAGUGCCAAUAUGUUUUGUGUGUUGCAUAUGUUAGUCAUAUCAUAGAAGAAAGCAGAAAUACGUCUAUGUCAAUGUUUUGCAGCCCAUCAUCAUGGAACAUCAUCUUUGACUUUUAGGAUGUGAGAAGGAGUUGAAUUUAGUAAGAUACGCUGCACGGAUAAAGCAUGAUGAGUCAAAGUGAGCAGUAUCUAGAGCAUGACCAAGGAACAGUAGAAUAAAGGAUUCAGCCUGAAAAGUCGUGUGUAUAUAUAUAUAUAUAUGUGUGUGUAUGUGUGUGUGUGUAUAUAUGUAUAUGUGUGUGUGUGUAUGUGUGUGUGUAUAAAUAAAAAGGCUACAACCUGCUGGAGGUGCUUAACCCUUUUCCAUUCAUAACAGAGUAAACCUGGAUGUGUCACCACCAGAACUUAGCUUGCUAGCAAUGGGAUCUAUCAGUGCUGCUCCAAAAGUCACCAGUGUUUGUGUCAAUGAGGUGUGGGAAAUGGUGGGGUACACAUGGAGCUGAAACUCCUGCAUCUCAUAGAAUCAAAGAAUCAUUAAGGUUGAAAAAUACCUCUAAGAUCACAAAGUCCAACCUCACCCUAUCCUCACCAUACCCACUGAUCAUGUCACUCAGUGCCACAUCUCCACCAUCGCCUCCAGGGAUGGUGACCCCCCCCCCCCCCCCAGCUCCCUGGGCAGCCUGUGCCUGUGCAUCACCACUCCUUCUGAGAAGAACUUUUUUGUAACAUCCAACCUGAGGGGCUCUCGCAGAGGAUGCUCAAGGAGGGGAUCCUGCAGUGCUAGAAGAAGGAAGAUGGGCUAGUAACAGACACAGCUCCACAGGAUGUAUGCACCUGUGUGUAUAUGACUGUUUGUGCAUACUGGAAAUUUUUUUUUGGACUAAUCAUGGAUAGGUUUUAGAAAUUUGUAUAUUUAACAGCUGAUGAAUGCCUAGUAAUGUGGUUUGUAUGCUGUUUUACUGAUAUUAAUCUUGAAUGCAUAGCUCUGUGAUUGCCAUUUAAUUUUUUAAUUAAGAAAAAAAAAAGAAAACAACUUAGAUGCCAAUCUGAGCUGAGCUAUGUGAGCAGAGCAGUUUAUUUUCUCAUUGCAUUCUAUGACUUCCAUAUCAAGUAUGGCUGGCAUGGGCACCAAUUAUAUUUGGUAGCACUCCAGGAAGCUCUGUGAGGGAUUAUUUACUCUACUUCUUGGCACAUCUGUUUUUAUAAUACGACCAUAAGUUCUGUCACCGAUUUCAUUUCUUCAGUGUGAAGUGGUGAUGACAGGCAGAUCUCCAAUUCCCUGCAGUUACGUAGUUUGCAGAAUUUACCACUGAAGUACUGCCUGUUGAGGAAAAAUAUUCCAGAAUCCACAUACUGAUUAAAUACGAGUUAUUUCUAGUUGUAAAAGUAAACUCUUUGGAGUGCUAGUAGUGAACCUGAUGAUAAAAUAAUGCUUGCAGACAGACUGCAGAGGUGUUCUCUUUUUAGACUGCCAGGAUGAAAGCUUGUAAAAAAAGUUUUGUCACCCUCUUGUCAAAGCUGUGUGCAAACACUCCCUACAGCUCGCUCUCCAGCACUGCCCACUGCAGAUCUGAGUGGCUUUCUGGGUGACGGCAGGAAGGAAAAGGAACUGGGUUGUUUGGGAAAUAGAGCUCAAAAAGCCGUUUUCCUUUCUCCAGAUGUAGGAUGGGAACUUGACAGGACCUUCCAUGUGCCAGAAGCAUCCCGGUUCUUUCUGUUAGGAUGUAUACCUCAAAAUAAUUAACAAUUUAAUAACAUAUUUGUAAUGUUUAUGUUGCUUCACACUACUGCACCAGAAAAAGCAGUCCAGUCCUGCCAAACUAUCAAAACCUCCAGCUUCAACCUAGUUGACUUGAUGAGGAAUUAGUGACCAAGCAAAUUAGGUGUGGACACAAGUACAACACUGCUAUCUAGCUAUGCUGCUGAAUUGCAGUGCUAACGCACUUAUUUAAGAUGAAUUCCUGAGCUCCUGUCACACAGCGCCUGUCCCAGACAGGCUGUGCCUCUGGCCACGUGUCUUCACAGGAGCAGCUGAGCUGAUGGCCAUGACAGGCCCUGCUGUUUGUCAACAGAGGAGAGCGUAAGUGAAAAGGUGAAUAACUGCAUUACCUGAAGCACGUGACCCUACUCUCUGCAGACACAGCCAACAGUGUUCCCAUACAUUUUUGCCCAAUGCUCUAUGGAUGUUUACAGAGACUUCUGCAAAAGCAGCAGCCUGCAUGAAUCAUGUUCUGUGCAGCUUCAAUGAGGCAAGAAUAAAUCAACUAAAUCUAAACCCACAGGCUUUGUAAUUCAUAUUGAUUUUGCCCCAGUGAAUAUUUUGAUACUGUGUCCUGCAGGUUUUCUCUGGCCUGGAUGCAGUUUCACUCUUUUCCUUCUUGUUCAUUUCUCAGUUUUCACAGCAGAGAACAUUCUAUUUGAUCUUUUAGCACUUGCACUUCAGAGAUGUGUGAAAGACAACUGACAGUAAUGCUUGACUGAUCUGGACCAUGUUCUGCGCUGAUCUGCCUAAACUGCAACCUCCACCUGACCCAGAAUUACCUGCAGCUACACAAAGACUAUUAUAAUCCAGGGGGCAUAACCCUCUAUAAAUACAAAUGUGGGAAGCCUGAAAGGUUUUAAGUAUCUUACGGCAAUCGCAGACUUAGAUUUGCAAUUCGAUAGAAAUGGCCACCGUGCUCCGUGUUGACACACAAUUUCUGGUCUGCAAUGCUUUUGUUACUUGAGUAGGUGCUCAGUGCAAACAGAACAAGAAAAAGAAAAAAUACUCGCAGAAAUUCUUAUUUCUUCUUUUUUUUUUUUUUUUUUUCCUCAUAGUUUGGAUCCUUGGACCAAUAAUUGGAUAUAUAAUAAGUUAGAACUCCUUGACAUCUUGGGCUCAUCUCUAAAACCCCAGCUAACAGUUUUAUACUGAGUAUCUUUAGCCCCUGUUUUUCAGAACAGGGAGAAUGAAAGCAUUUGUUUGAGGGCAAAAGGGGACAUUAUUUAGGGCUGUUCAGGAGACAUCUAGAGUGUGCUUGAGAAAUGCUGCAUGGAGAGCAGCUUCUGGGAACAGGUCUGUCUGCUCUGAAUUGCUGCAGCAUGGCAAUUGCUGUAAUUGAGAGAAUUAAACUGUGCUCCCUUUACUAUGGACUCAGUGGACGUAUCUUUGGUUUCUUUGGAUAAGCGUGUUCUAUGGCAAUUUAAAGUGAAAAAAAAUAAGAGAAGUGGAUGAGGAGGGACCAGUUAAUUGUUUCUAUUGUUUUUGUGCAAAUAGACAGCUCUUCAGAGUCACUUUAGUCAUCCAUAGGAACUAUUUAAACUGGGGAAUGCUGAGGUUUUUUUCUAAUUGGAGCCACUGAUAAUGACGUUAUUUUAUUUAUUGCUACACUGACGUAAUAUUUCAUAUUUAACUGCAGGUUAACAGAUUCAGCCUGCUUUAAUCAUUAGCAGAUAAAAAAUGGAAACCCUGAAUUCUCAUAGAAGAACAUUUUCUUAUAUUUUUUAAAAGAAUUUGAUUCAGAAAAAGGCUGAAAGAGACACAGAUUCUCUCCUGCCUGAGAAUCCAAAGAUGGAAAGAAUAGACUAGGAAGGCAGUUGUAAAGUUAAUUUAUGGUAUCAAGAGUCUUUAUGCUGUAAAUAAUGUAUAUGUGAUUACAUGGGGCCUCAAGUGGUGCAAUCCCAGUGUCCUGAUUUUGGCUUGGAUAGAGUUAAUUUUCUUCCUAGUGGCUGGUGUGAGAUGCUGUGUUUUGGAUUUAGGAGAUGAAUGUGGAUCAUACACUGAUUUUGUUGUUGUUCUGAGCAGUGCUUACACUAGGUCAAGGACUUCUCCAGCUUCUCAUAAUGUCCUGCCAGAGAGUGAGCUUGGGAGGACUCAAGGAGCUGGGAGGGCACAGAACCAGGACAGAUGGCCCAAACUGGCCAUAUGAUGUCCUGCUGGACAGUAAAACUGAGAGAGUUGGCCGGGGAGUGGGGGGGACAGUAGUUCUGCUUGGGAUCUGCCUGUGCAUCAGGCAGCUGGUGGUGAGAACUGUGCUGUGCAUCCCUCGUUUUGUGUAUUAUUAAUAUUCCCUUUUUUUUUUUUCUUCUUUUUUUUUUUCUGUCCUGUCAAAUGGUCUUCAUCUCAACCCACGAUUUUUACUCUUUUUCUGGUUCUCUUCUCGAUUCCACUGGGGGGAGGGAGUGAGCAGCUGUGUGGUGCUGACCUGUCUGCUGGGUUCAACCACAGCACCCUGGAAAAAACAGCGGCAGAAGCUGAGCAGUGCCUCGGGCUGGAGAAAUAUUUUUCUGUAAGGUGUUUCCCAGACAUCUUCCACACUUGCAUGACAUAAGCAGGAUCUAAGCAGUUUUUCUCUUCCUAUGCUAUGAUAUGGGUUCUUCCAUACCUCCUGUCCACAUGUGACACUUCCUCUUUGCUCCAGCCUAAUUCUUCCCUUCCAGCCCAUGGGAUGCAAUAGCAGGACACACACCUAGGGAGAUUUGUUUCUAGGUUAGGCUAAUGGCAAAUACCUGUGGUUCAGUUCUGUGAGGUGUUCAUGCACUUGAAUUUGUUUCUCUUCUUUCCCUCUUUCUUUUCAGAUUCUAACAAAAACUACUAGUCUUUUUUUUUUUAAUCUAAUUUUUCUUUUUUUUUCCCCUCACAGUUGUCUCCUGAUGUCCCCAGUGUAAAUCACAUACAUCAUUACACAGCAGUUAGAGACAUGCUAUAGAUCAUCUGUUCUUCAUUUAUGAAUGAUUAGCCAUUCUCUUUUUGAAACACUGCUGGGAAGCAGUCUUUGAUCCUGAUUGCCUUUGGCUAGACCUCCAGACGUUGGCUUAGAUAGAAAUUUUGAUCCUAGACUAAAAAUGAGCAAGUGUUAGAAACAAAUGCGCUUUUAUCCAUAGAAAGGAUAUAAGGUCAAACUUCACUCUGGGCCCUCAACACAACUCAACUCAGAAGGAAAGUAGAGAAAGGCAACUAUUGAUUAAUUAGUACAGGUAGCUCUCGAAUUGUCAGAAUGCCAUAUUCACCAUUCAUUAGGAACUAUUUGCUAAAUUCAGAAUGCUAUCUUUUUGGUGUGGGGCACAAGGAUUGAGUACCUUAGUGAUGUGAGAUGCUUCAUUUUAAAUAGUAAGCUAUGGAUGUAUGUGAACUGCUUCUGAUAAGAAUGGAAGAUUUAUCUUUAGAAUGAAUAUAUAUAGUGGCUAAAUCUGUAUAUGCAGCUUUAUAUUUUGCAAAUAUUGUUUUCUCUUCAUUGCUUUCUAUUGGAAGGCAUAUGAACUAAAACUUCUUUUGUUAAAACAUAAAAAGGAAAAUAAAUUUGUACAAAUUAGAAGCAAUUUUUUAUGUUUUUUAAUCAAAAUUUGCUAAAAUUCUGUGAAUCUCUUUCAAAAAAAAUUGCUUUUGUUUCCUUCUUUUCUUUCUUUUUUUUUUACUAAUUUACAUUGCAUGAUUUUUACUUGAGUCAAGAAUUUCAUUGUAAAUAGUCAAAUGACCAUCCUGUUGUUUUUGUUUGGCCUGGAUCAUAAGGUAAGCAGAAGACAUUCUUUCACAGAUGAAAUCUUUGGUACAACACAGAAUGUUUCAACUGAGUUCUUUUGCAGAACACGAGUCAGAAAGAUAGAAGUUUUCCACCCAAAGUCUGUCUUUAUUUUAAGAUUUCUGACCAACUAUUUAAGAAUAACAAAAAAUACUUUUCACUUUGGCUCAUAUUGGAAAAUGAGUUUCCAGCCAAGCAGGUAGAAAGUAACUUACACUGCUAGAUAUUGUAAAAAGCUGGAAUAACUCUAUAACAGCAUGCAAAGCUGGAAUAACUCUAUAACAGCAAAGUAUUGGAUCUUUCUUUGUCUAGUCAUGAAAUUUAUUCCAUGUAAUAUAUAUGUAAUAUAUGGAGUUGGCUGCAGGGAGACUUUUUAAUUGAGUUCCUGUUCCUGUUUUUGAUGUUGUUGGUCGGUUGGUUGUUGCUGUUAUUUUAUUUUCACUGGCUACAUAUUAUUUGAUCCUUUGAUUUAAUGAAAUUUAACACUAGUGACAGUGAACCCUAACAUUGUUUAUAAACUUUCUUUUUCUGUUUUCUUAUGUUUCCAGUUCUGCUGAAAAACAGAACAAAACAAAACAAACCUGUCAAAUUUCAUGGUCACAUUAAAGCAAUACUUUGUACCCAAUAUGAAAAUUGAAUUUGAUAAUUUAUUUUAUAGUCUUGGGUAAUUUUCAUUUAUGUCUUUUUUUCAUAUUUGUAGGAAUCGAAUAUGCACCAUACCAUUAUUUUUCAUUUUGGCAUAUAGUGGCAAAUAAGCUUCCUGUAGGUUAAAUCAUAUUGGAACCAAGAGUAAUAAGACUGGAACCACAUAGUGAAUUUCAUCCCAAAUGUGCAUGCUUUCAGCCCAGAAAUCCAACUGCAUCCAGGAGUGCAUCAACAGAGGGGCAGCAGCAGGGAGAGAGAGGGAGUUGUCUCUCUGUUUACCCCUCAUGAGGCUUCACCUGGAGUGCUGUGUCCAAACCUGGGGCCCCCAGCACAAGAAGGAUGCAGAACUGUCCCUUCAAAUCCAUAUCUCUCCAAUUUAGAAAUAAGGAUGUGAUAUGGGACCAGGUCAAAGGCCUUUGUCACAGAAUAUGAUUUACAAUAUCUUAAGAAAGAGAAAGUAAAUGACAGUCUAAGAGAAAGAUCAGACUUCACUGCAACUGCAUUACUCUUGAAAUCUGCCUGACCCAUAGAAGAUGUUUCACCCUAAGCACAGCAAGGUUUCAUAGCAUGAAAGUAUUCUUUUGCAUUUUUGAGAUAUGACAUCCCAUAGUAGAUAUUGCACAUUAUAAGCCAAUAUACUCUGUCACAUAAUGUUUUAGGUAAAUUUAGCUUAUAUUUAAGGAAAAAGAAGUCUGAAGUUAUUUUUGUCUUGACCAAUUACGUUCUUCAAAUAAAUAAAGGUAAUCCAGUCUGCAAGGAAUCUCAGAUCUUCUAGCCAAAUUCAUGCAAAGCAAGACUGAUCGUGUCAUUACGCGAGGCUGCUCAAAGCCUUGUUCAGCUCUGUGUUGACUAUUUCCAAGCAUGGAGAUUCCAUAAAAAUUACAGACCUGAUAGCAUUCAGGAAUUAAUUUCACAGUACCUUGGCAAUGCACAUCUGCAAUUUCAGAGUCCUAUACUGUUUGUUUAUAUAGAUCUUGGAAAGAAAAUGCCAAGGGGGUUAAGGAUGUCAGUGCAUGAAGAGUCCACAUAACCACCCUACGCUUUUGGAUAGAAGAAUGGGGAUAGGCCUUCUGCACACACUUUUUUUUUCUUCUCUGAAGUGAACACUUGAACUUUAGGACACAAGAAAACAACUCCCAGAAUUUUUAGAUAACUUAAAUCUCUCCAAGCCUACCUUCUGCCAGUAUUAGAACACCACAGUAUACAUGCUAAAAAAGGACUACUGUUCCCUUAUAUUAACUUUCCUUCCUUUUAUUUCCAGUUCCUCUUUCUCAUCACUCACUAGAAUUACAUAACCUUUAUGUUACCUUAUGAACUCAAAGGUGAUGUACUUUCCUGAAUGCCGUCUUUCCGUGGAUAAAUGGAGUAUAAGGAAUACAUGAGGAAUGUUUACCUAGUUAACACAUUUUAAUUCAUCAUUUAGAAAGAGAAUUUUCCUUUCCCUUAUCUCCCUGCAAUUAUCUAUACAUUGCACUGUAUCAUGCAACAUUUUAUGUAGAUAAAGCUUUGUAAUAUUGUAGUUGAGCAUUAGUUAUUUAUUUCACCACCACUUAGUGAUUAUCAGUGUUCAAUCCCAGGCAUAGCUGAAUUUAAAAAUAGAAAUAAGAGCCUCAUUCCAUGAUAUUAAACAUAUUGGGAGGUUUUCAAUUGUCUUUAAGGAGACUUAGAUUAAAAUUGAGAGAGUAAUUACAGUAUCAGUAGCUUAUAUGAAUAAACCUAAUUUUCUCUAAAAAGAUUCCUAAUUAAUGGAUAGAAUAAGUGUAGUAGAUGUAUUAUAUUUGGAACUUAGCAAUACAUUUACUAUCAUGUCUCAAAAUUUUAAUUGAAAAGUUAAUUUAAAUUAGCAUUCAUAUGAACUGUCUUGUGAUUUGAAACUGUGCUAUGUGGCCAUCUUCAUUCCUAAAUUCUGCCAUUUCUCUGAAAACUAUCGUUUGUUAGAGAACACUAGAGACCUAUAUGAAGUCCAUUGUACAGAAGCAGCUGAGCUGUGAAAGAAAUUAUUACAUAG
rnacentral:lncRNA from 1 species